AUUGAACGCUGGCGGCAGGCUUAACACAUGCAAGUCGAGCGGAGUGAUGGUGCUUGCACUAUCACUUAGCGGCGGACGGGUGAGUAAUGCUUAGGAAUCUGCCUAUUAGUGGGGGACAACAUCUCGAAAGGGAUGCUAAUACCGCAUACGUCCUACGGGAGAAAGCAGGGGAUCACUUGUGACCUUGCGCUAAUAGAUGAGCCUAAGUCGGAUUAGCUAGUUGGUGGGGUAAAGGCCUACCAAGGCGACGAUCUGUAGCGGGUCUGAGAGGAUGAUCCGCCACACUGGGACUGAGACACGGCCCAGACUCCUACGGGAGGCAGCAGUGGGGAAUAUUGGACAAUGGGGGGAACCCUGAUCCAGCCAUGCCGCGUGUGUGAAGAAGGCCUUAUGGUUGUAAAGCACUUUAAGCGAGGAGGAGACUCUUUUGGUUAAUACCCAAGAUGAGUGGACGUUACUCGCAGAAUAAGCACCGGCCAACUCUGUGCCAGCCGCCGCCGUAAUAC
rnacentral:rRNA from 1 species